GGUGAGAUGGCCGAGCGGUCUAAGGCGCCAGCUUAAGGUAUUCCUGGCCUCCAGGAAGACUCACGCUGGUCCGAAAGGGCGUGGGUUCGAAUCCCACUCUCAUCA